AUUAAGCUCUCAAGUACGUUGUUUUUGUUAUUCCCAUCUUUUGGCGAUCUUUGUAUACAUCAGAAUAUAAGGCUUUUCUUGUCUGGAACCAAGAAUGCUUGACAGGACUAAAAAUAUCUGCCGCCAAGCUCUCAAGUACAUUGUUUUUCUUAUUCCCAUAUCUUGGCGUUCUUUGUAAACAUGUAGAAGAGUCACAGACAGCCAAAGGCUUCUGUCGUUUUUAAGUCGUGGAUACGCGAAGUGUAGGAACGACUUUUUGCGGGGGUCCACGAUCGCCUUGCCAGACGUCUGGGGGGUCCCAGAGAAUGGCAUCUCGAUCUCAGCGCCGUGUUGCAAGAUCAGGGGGGACACGCCUUCCGGUACAGCGCUUAACUCGACGAGCUGGUAUUCGCAGAAAAACGGUGAUAAUGAUUAUAAUAGUUUAUGGCUCAAACAAUACGUAUUAACUCAAACUAUACGUAUUAUGGCAACUCACAA